rnacentral:lncRNA from 1 species
CUCGGAGGUUACACGGAUAUGGGUGGAAAUCCUGGGUCCAUAGCUUCCUAGCUGUAUGGCUUUGGGCCAAUUAUUUUACCAUUCUGAGCCUCAUGUCCUCAUCUGUAAAACAGGAUGACACUUGGACCUAAUGUGAGGCAUGUGGUGAAGAUGAAAUGAGGGUGCACGGGAACCACUGAGAGCCGUGUGCGGCACGUGGGUGUGUGCGCAGUCACUGCCCGCUCUCUAUCAUUUAUCCCUG